CCGACCUUAGCUCAGUUGGUAGAGCGGAGGACUGUAGAUCCUUAGGUCGCUGGUUUCGAAUCCGGCAGGUCGGA